rnacentral:lncRNA from 11 species
UACAGAUCUAUUUGGUAACAGACAACACUGCCUAGUUUCAUCAGCCAACCCUUGGGCCAGUGGAUGUUGCUGCUGAAUGUCAGACAAGUGGAUAAGAAACAGAUUGGUCAUCUCGUCAUCAUCAUCAUCAUCAUCAUCAUUUGUUGGUCUGUCAUGAUCUACUAUGUCUUGCGCUCUGUCUCAGUAGCAGUCAGCUUGGUUUUGA